GACGAACGCUGGCGGCGUGCUUAACACAUGCAAGUCGAACGGAAAGGCCCUGCUUUUGUGGGGUGCUCGAGUGGCGAACGGGUGAGUAACACGUGAGUAACCUGCCCUUGAUUUUGGGAUAACUUCAGGAAACUGGGGCUAAUACCGGAUAGGAGCUCCUGCUGCAUGGUGGGGGUUGGAAAUUUUCGGCGGUUGGGGAUGGACUCGCGGCUUAUCAGCUUGUUGGUGGGGUAGUGGCUUACCAAGGCUUUGAGGGGUAGCCGGCCUGAGAGGGUGACCGGCCACAUUGGGACUGAGAUACGGCCCGGACUCCUACGGGAGGCAGCAGUGGGGAAUAUUGCACAAUGGGCGGAGGCCGGAUGCAGCAACGCCGCGUGCGGGAUGACGGCCUUCGGGUUGUAACCCGCUUUCGCCGGUGACGAAGCGUGAGUGACGGUAAUGGGUAAAGAAGCACCGGCUAACUACGUG
rnacentral:rRNA from 1 species